AUAAAAUUGGAGUUAUUAAGCCUCACAGUUUAGUUAAUGCUUCCAGUCGAGUCUGGGGAAGAAACCAGGAAGCAGAAAACGUCCUAAUAAGAAGAUAAGGUGACCGAAUAAGGGGAUUACUUGGCAGAGAUAUGAGAGAACUGGGUUCUUGACCCCACUUUGCCAUGAACUUGGGCUUGUUGAAGAAAGUGGCCAUAUUGGUCAGCCUAUUGGGCAGGGAACUGCAGGUGGUACCCAGGAUCUGAGGAUGGCUUCCAGAUGACAGCAAGCAAAACCCAGGGCUCCCAGUCCUCUAACCACAACAGAAUGGAUUCUGCAAACAAUUCGAGUGAGUUUGGAAGCAGAUUCUUCCCCAGGGGAAAAUUCACCACUGAGCUCAAGCAUUGUAAGACAUCCUGUUCUAAGGAGGGAUGAGGACAAAUCCUCUACUGUUCCCAACAGUUGCACAGGGCACUGCAUCUACAGUUACCCUGAGAACUACAAGCAGGAGGUGAAAGAGCUGAGUCAGCCAAGGUCAUCUGGGGACCUAUCCACUGGCAGGCAGAGGAGCCUUUCCCUGUGGCCACCACUGCCUUCAGCCCAUAAGGGAGUUUUUCCAGGCUACCUCCGAUGAUCACUUAAAGCUCAACAGCUCUUCAUUCAGCUUGUGGUGAGUGUGCCAGGCCUGGGACCCCCACUUUAGGGCAGUGGGGCUCCUCUCUGGUCCAGGACAGGUCUAGAA
rnacentral:lncRNA from 10 species